GGUUGUCGCAGGAAUACCCCACUA
rnacentral:misc_RNA from 1 species